CUGAAGGUGGUGAAAGCUGAAGUAAUUUGCUUAUCCCCAGAACAGGUAUAGGACUGCUCUAAAAAGUUCCUCACUUCUGAGCUCUGGCACCACCUGUAGGGAUGAAAGGGCACUCCAGGACCCAGGUCUAUUCAGAGCUUGGCUUCC
rnacentral:sRNA from 1 species